UCGUGGAGUGAUUUGUCUGCUUAAUUGCGAUAACGAACGAGACCUUAACCUACUAAAUAGCCAGGCUAGCUUUGGCUGGUCGCCGGCUUCUUAGAGGGACUUUCGGCUCAAGCCGAUGGAAGUUUGAGGCAAUAACA
rnacentral:rRNA from 1 species